rnacentral:rRNA from 1 species
CUAUAAUUUGUAACUGAAAAAUUUACUAGUUGCAUUUUUUCAACUCCAUAUCCUAACGUAAUUUAAAACCCAAAAUCAUCCACAAACGCAAUAUCAAUCAUAAACUCAUACUGCUGCAAGAUAUUCUUCUCGUCAUUAGCAUCCGCCAAUACAAGAUAAUACUUGUCUCCAUACUUAUAUUCUCUUGAUUUCAAAGUAAACUUCUCAUGGAAAGUUCUCUUCUCCGGUGCAUCUUCCCUGCUAUUGGCAAUCAUAGGCACAUCAAAUGAGAUUUUUUCUCCAUCUUCCGUAGUAAAGUAAGCCACGAUACUUCUUGCUUUCAUGGUGUCUGUGACUUUCUCUAUCUGAAUGAAAUCAAAGUAUGUGAUAAGAUUCGUCACCUUACGGGUAACAGAUGUCAGGACAACAUCUACAUAAUCGUAUGCCACACCUCUGGUAUUCGUUGUAACUUCAAUGACCGGAACCAUCAUCUCCUGCAGAGACGUACCGCCAUGUACAUAGUUCUGUCCACCUCCGGCAACCUUGAAAAUAUCUGCUCCAACCGGAGUAUCCACAUACAGUUUAUUGAGGUACGCCAUUGUUCUUGCCAUGAUUCCCUGCUCAUUUACUGCAUCUUCUGUAAUAAGGAAUCUCUUAUUUGUAUAAAGGCAUUUAUCCUUUGGAUAUGAUACCUUGUCAAACUCCUGUAAUCUGUCUCUCUUAUAUAAGAAUCCAUGAUCUGCAGUUAUGAAAAACUUUGGUGCUGAUACAUAACCAGUCAGUUUCUUAACCAACUUAUGUAUCUCUUCUAUAGCCUCUGCACAAGCAUUGAAUACCUCAUUCUCACUUGCUGGCUUGUCCCCUCUUGCAUCCACCUGAUUGUGAUAGAUGUACACGAUAUUCUUGCCCUGAAUCAACUCCCUGAUUCGUGCCUGAUUUGCAUUUGCUACUUCAUCAAAUGACAAUGCCACAUUAUUUUCAUUAUAUGAUUUCAGUAUCUUGUCUCUCUGCUCCAUACUUGCACAUGCCUGUCCAUCAACAGUCACAUUCAAGCUUCCAUCCACCUGCAUCUCUUUAUGUGGAAGCAGACUUGCCAUUCCAACCGAGGUCACAGAAGGCAGACAGCUAAGCAUCUAUGUACAGGAUAGGCGGGAGACUGGGAAGUAUGAGCGUCAGCUUAUACGGAGUCAUUGUUGGGAUACCGCCCUUAGGUUUCUGGAAUUCUAACCUGCGACCGUGAAUCCGGUCGGGGGACAUUGUCAGGUGGGCAGUUUGACUGGGGCGGUCGCCUCCGAAAAGGUAACGGAGGCGCUCAAAGGUUGGCUCAGCACGGACGGAAACCGUGCCUCAGAGUGUAAACGCAAAAGCCAGCCUAACUGCGAGGAUGACGGUCCGAGCAGUAACGAAAGUUGGAGUUAGUGAUCCGGCGGUAUGUGAAUGGAAAUGCCGUCGCUCAACGGAUAAAAGCUACCCUGGGGAUAACAGGCUGAUCUCCCCCAAGAGUCCACAUCGACGGGGAGGUUUGGCACCUCGAUGUCGGCUCAUCACAUCCUGGGGCUGUAUUCGGUCCCAAGGGUUCGGCUGUUCGCCGAUUAAAGUGGUACGCGAGCUGGGUUCAGAACGUCGCGAGACAGUUCGGUCCCUAUCUGUCGUGGGCGCAGGAUAUUUGAGGAGCUCUGUCCUUAGUACGAGAGGACCGGGAUGGACGUACCUCUGGUGCACCAGUUGUCAUGCCAAUGGCACGGCUGGGCAGCUACGUACGGAACGGAUAAACGCUGAAAGCAUCUAAGCGUGAAGCCGACUCCAAGAUUAGAUAUCCCAUUGCAUAAGCAAGUAAGACCCCUUGAGGACUACGAGGUUGAUAGGCUGCGUGUGUAAGUGUCGUGAGGCAUUUAGCUUGGCAGUACUAAUAGGUCGAGGGCUUGACCA